CCUACGGGUGGCUGCAGUGGGGAAUAUUGGACAAUGGGGGAACCCUGAUCCAGCCAUGCCGCGUGUGUGAAGAAGGCCCUCGGGUUGUAAAGCACUUUCAGUGAGGAAGAACGCCUGGUGGUUAAUACCCAUCAGGAAAGACAUCACUCACAGAAGAAGCACCGGCUAACUCCGUGCCAGCAGCCGCGGUAAUACGGAGGGUGCGAGCGUUAAUCGGAAUUACUGGGCGUAAAGCGCGCGUAGGUGGCUUGAUAAGCCGGUUGUGAAAGCCCCGGGCUCAACCUGGGAACGGCAUCCGGAACUGUCAAGCUAGAGUGCAGGAGAGGAAGGUAGAAUUCCCGGUGUAGCGGUGAAAUGCGUAGAGAUCGGGAGGAAUACCAGUGGCGAAGGCGGCCUUCUGGACUGACACUGACACUGAGGUGCGAAAGCGUGGGUAGCAAACAGGAUUAGAUACCCGAGUAGUC
rnacentral:rRNA from 1 species